UACGUAGGGGGCAAGCGUUAUCCAGAUUUACUGGGCGUAAAGCGCGUGUAGGCGGCUGGUUAGGCGUGAUGUGAAAUCUUCCGGCUCAACCGGAAAACUGCAUUGCGAACCGGCCUGGCUAGAGUGCAGGAGAGGGAAGCGGAAUUCCAGGUGUAGCGGUGAAAUGCGUAGAUAUCUGGAGGAACACCGGUGGCGAAGGCGGCAUCCUGGACCAACACUGACACUGAGGAGCGAAAGCCAGGGGAGCAAACGGG
rnacentral:rRNA from 1 species